AUGGUGGAACAAAUCAACCAAGCAUUUCAGUAUUUCAUGGUGACCAGUCUUUGCCUGACUUUCUCACUAGUGCAUUUCUACAUUUUGAAGGAGAUUGGAAGAAAGGAAUCAAUCCAAGAGUUGAAAAUGGAAACAAACUGGUGUGAGAAAGAGACCUGGAGACAUACUGAAGCUAUAUAUGGACCUCUUCUUCAGGAGUUGACCAGAAAAUGUUAAGGUCAGAUUCUUAUUAAAAUUUAACAUUUCUAAAAUCCAUUAUUUAUUGGAACCAAACAGAUAAUUGAUUAUUGUUCCUUUCUUGCCAGAUGAAAUUUUCAAGCCAAGACUUAGAAGUAUGUAUGACGUUUAACAAUUCUUUGCUUAUAUAUGGAUUUAUUUCCAGGCUGGAAAGAGAUUUUUAAAAAUAAAGUUCUUUCAUUAGUGAGUGGCAAAAAGAAAGUUUAGACAUUAUGGAUUUUAACAUGAUUUUAAAAUGUAAACAACACAAUUUUCUUUAAAAACCCUCGUGAUUUAGGGGAUGAUAGUUCUGAAAUUAAUCCAAAAGAGAGAAAUGGGACAAAUGUCACAGGCAAAUAUGAUAAACAUGAAGGUAGGUCCUCAGUGGUAUCCUUUACUGCAAUUGAAGAAAAAAUUGCAAUUGAAAUAAAAAUGUGUACUUUACAAACAAAAGAUAUGGUCAAGAUGGCAAUUCAGAGGUAAGAAACAACCUUUAGUUUUUAACAGAUUUGUGUCCAGAAGAAAGGAAUCCAGCAGAUAAGGUAAGAAUGUCAAGAUUUUAGGCUACCAAAGUCUAUCCUAACUUUGUCUAGAUUUUUGUCCUGGAAAAGUAUGAGAUUCCAUGGUUUUGAUCAUGAUGAAGCAUGAAGCAAACCAUGAUCAAACAUGCAACAAAAGAACAACUUCAGGAAGAUAAGAAUCUUUCCAGUGACCUUACAAACUUGUUGGUAAGUCUUUACAAGGUAUGUUUCUUAGAGAGAGAAGUGCACAUCUUGGAAAAUGCUUUCCUUUAGUCCAUUGAACAGUAUUUCAGGAUAUUCGGUUGCCAAAGUCCCUAACUUUGUCUAGAUAUUUACUGGGAAAAUAUGAGAUUUCAGGUAUCUGACAACCUUCAAGAAGCAGCAAACGUAACACAAAUCUAAGGGAAAGAACAAGACUUGCUUCAGGAAGGUAUUAAGCUCCUUUGGGGAACUUAACAAACAUAUUGGUAAGUCUCCAUGAGGUAAGUUUCUCAAUUGAAAGAAUUCACACCCAAGAAAAUACUCAAGUAGCUAAAGAUUUAUUUUACCACUUUGUACUUGGAUAUAACCUUUUUGUAGACAUGAAAGUGAGUUUUCCUAUUUUGAAAGAACUGCAAACCAAUCCUGUUGUGUCUAAUAAAAGCAUCUGGAAAAAAGAUGAAAUAUUGCAAAAAUUUACAGUGACUAAAGUCUCUGCCUUACAUUCCUCAGCUUUCUAUGGAGAAAGGAAUCAAAGAACUUAGGUAAGAAAUUCAUUAUCCCCACUACCUAAAGGUUGCCAUUUAUUUUAUGGUCUGGCUCCCUCCUUAAUAUUUUAUUCAUCUUUGAUUGCGGUGGUUAAAAUGAUUUCUCCAUCCAGAGUGAAAAUAACUGGGAAAAGGAGGAAGACGUUGAGAGAGUAGAUGUGGAGGUAUACUUUGGGAGUUGGCUGGACAAGGUUGUAUUCUAUACAGACAUUUUUAGCAUACAUGCAAUAAUUCGUUUACUGAAAAGAAAAAAAUGGCAAUUGUUCCUAUUUUUCUAGAAAGGUUCAGAAGCAACUAUGUUGUUUAACAUUUGUUUGCUAUGUUACUGACUUCCUUCCAGGUAUGCAAGAGAUUUUAGAAAUUCUUAAAUGUUAUUUUAGUUACCAAAUUAAUUCAAGAAGACAGACAUCACCAAUGUGAUGGUAAGUCCUGAAAUGUUAUCCUUUACUGUAGGGAACGAUCCGUGGUAUUUUUCCUUGCUGGCUCCCUGGAUGGGUGAGUGUGACGGUUCCUUGAUGCUUUGGUGACUUUUUGUUUUGCAGUUUUGGAAGGGAUUGUCCAAUGCAAAAAGCUCUGUAGAUCAUUCAUUGUUGUAAGAUAGGUAACAAAGAUCAUAACAUUGAUAGUUUGGCAAGAUCAAAAAAGCAAGGCGUAACACAAACUCCAGUGAGGUGAGAAACAUUUCUCUUAUAAAUGCUGUUUUUUCAAACAUAUUUGUGUUGAUUGCCAAAGACCAAUGAUUUUUUCACCUUUUCUCCAUCCUUCUUUUGGUCUAGCAGGGGAUAUGGACUUAUACUUUAAGUGUCUUUAUUCUGUCCAUUUAGAUAUUAAUUUAUUUUCCAUUGAGUGGGCUGAAAAGGAAUGUUGACAAUGAAAAAAACUGUGUGAGAACUUCGUUUUAGGAACUGUCUUCAAAAAUCUUAUUUGCUGACAGGGAGACACUGAGAUCAUAUGAGGGUAAGAAAGCAAUUCCUCUUGUGAAUCAGACUGUUGGUAUCCUUUACUGGCUUCCUUGGUAGUUUUUUUUUCCCUUGCUGUUUCCUUUGAUGGUUUGACAAUGAUUUCAUAUUUAGUUAUUUCUUUGCAGAUACCAAACUGUUGGUAUCAUUUACUGGAGAGAUAGGUUUGUAAUCGUUUUUACCUUGCUGGCUCACUAAAAAUGUCAUGAUGAUGGUUUGACAACUUGUUGUAGAAGCUUUUCAUAGCCGGAAUCACUGGGUUGCUGUGAGUUUUCCGGGCCAUGAAGCAUCAGGAGACUAUGCUUCUGGAAUAUGGCCAUAAAGCCCAGAAAACUCACAGCAACCCAGUUUGACAAUUAUUUCAUAUUUAGUUACUUCUUUGCAGAUUUGGAAGGGAUUGCCCAAUGCAAAAGGAUCCGCAUUGGACCCAUUAUUUGAAGAUAGGUGACAAAAC
ensembl:lncRNA